rnacentral:lncRNA from 1 species
CGUAUCUAUCACUUAAUAUAGCUAUAAUUAUCAUAAGAAAUGCAACACUGUUUUAAUAUUUUCCACAUAUUAUUAUAUCAUAAAUAUUUGCCUUUCAAUAAUCUGGGGGAUGCAUAAUAUGAUAUUGACAUAGUGUCUUGUACUCAGCCUUUGUCGUAUAGUUAAGACUUAAGUUACAUUUAAUUUUUGAGGACAUAUAUAACACUGCAGUUAACAUGUUUUCACCUGUCUUAUUGUACCCUUCAGCAAAAUAUUAGGGCAUGGUGUGAAGUUCAUCCCAUUCAUCUUGCUCUCCAAAUCUUUAUUUUUUUUUCAAAUCUUUAAAACAAUUCACAAUCUCCCACGAUAUUUGAGGAAUCGGAGGGUGAGGUGAGGUUUUUACUCUUCUUUAUGUAAUUGAAGAGGUGCAUUGCUGUAGAAAGACACUUUCCAUGCCAGCAGUAAGAACCAACUGAAGCCCCUCCAAACAAAAGAGAAGAUUGACAGUUUAGAAGUUAUCUGGAUUUGGAUAGUGAUGGAUCCAGGGUGUCAAAUAAUGUGCAGGAUUCGGUUUCCCUUUGUCUACACUGGCCAACAUUGCACUCGUUGCUGGCUUUAUUCAACAGUGGUCUCACAUCUUGCUGGUUAAGGCUCUUUCUCAAAACUCCAGCCUAAGUCUGGGAUUCAUUCUGAUUGGCUCAGCCUGAGCAAGUCACUUUGGGUAGUCAUUCCUACCACUGCUGGGAUUGGGGAUGGACAUGCCUUCCUUGGGCUCACGUUGGAUGUCUCCACCCAAGAAGAACAUAGAUUCAGAUCUGGAUGAGAGUGGGGCCCUAGAGGGGUGCUGGGCAAGCAAAAUCCUGCCUGCAACAUGGAUCUGAUAGGACAUUUGACAUGACGACUUUUCUUUAACCUGUGCUGAUGUUAGUAUUCGAACAUGGUUUCACUGCAGUGUGUAGGAUGUUGAUAGAGCAAUGCAUGUCACGUUACUUUUAAAAUUAUACUUGAAGAGUUCAAUAGAGAUAGAAUUGUAUGAUAUGUCAAGGUCAUUGUACUGUUAUGUGUAAC